UGAGGAAUAUUGGGUCAAUGGGCGGAAGCCUGAACCAGCCAUGCCGCGUGAAGGAAUAAGGCCCUAUGGGUCGUAAACUUCUUUUGUGGUGGAGCAAUAAGACGUACGUGUACGUCGAUGAGAUUACAUCAUGAAUAAGCAUCGGCUAACUCCGUGCCAGCAGCCGCGGUAAUACGGAGGAUGCAAGCGUUAUCCGGAUUUAUUGGGUUUAAAGGUGCGUAGGCUGUUUGACAAGUCAGUGGUGAAAGCCCGGGGCUUAACUCCGGAAUUGCCGUUGAUACUGUUGAGCUGGAAUACGGAUGCCGUGGGAGGAAUGAGUAGUGUAGCGGUGAAAUGCAUAGAUAUUACUCAGAACACCGAUUGCGAAGGCAUCUCACGAAUCCGUCAUUGACGCUGAGGCACGAAAGCGUGGGGAUCAAACAGGAUUAGAUACCCUGGUAGU
rnacentral:rRNA from 1 species